rnacentral:rRNA from 1 species
AUUGAACGCUGGCGGCAGGCCUAACACAUGCAAGUCGAACGAGUGGCGGACGGGUGAGUAAUGUCUGGGAAACUGCCUGAUGGAGGGGGAUAACUACUGGAAACGGUAGCUAAUACCGCAUACCAUCAGAUGUGCCCAGAUGGGAUUAGCUAGUUGGGGGGGUAACUGCUCACCAAGGCGACGAUCCCUAGCUGGUCUGAGUGGAUGACCAGCCACACUGGAACUGCGUAAGGGGCCAGCCUCCUACGUGAGGCAGCAGUGGGGAAUGUUGCACAAUGGGCGCAAGGCUGAUGCAGCCAUGCCGCGUGUAUGAAGAAGUCCUUCGGGUUGUAAAGUACUUUCAGCGGUGGUGCGUUACCCGCAGAAGAAGCACCGGCUAACUCCGUGCCAGCAGCCGCGGUAAUUC